rnacentral:rRNA from 1 species
AGGUCAAGCAAUAAGGGCACAGGGCGGAUGCCUUGGCACUAAGAGCCGAUGAAAGACGUGAUAAGCUGCGAAAAGCUUCGGGGAGGAGCAAAUAUCCCGUGAUCCGGAGAUGUCUGAAUGGGGAAACCCGCAUGAGCAGACCUCAUGCAUCCAUACGCCAAUCCAUAACGUAUGGAAGGGAACCCGGGGAACUGAAACAUCUAAGUACCCGGAGGAAAAGAAAGAAACAUCGAUUCCGUAAGUAGCGGCGAGCGAACGCGGAGGAGCCUAAACCGGUGUGCGUGCAUGCCGGGGUCAUGGACUGCAUUUAAGAUUCAGCGAAGUUAACAGAACGGUUUUGGGAAAGCCGGCCGGAGAGGGUGAAAGCCCCGUACGUGAAAGCAGAGCUGACUGAGCAGGAUCCGGAGUACCACGAGACACGAGGAACCUUGUGGGAAGUAAGGGGGACCACCCCCUAAGGCUAAAUACUACUUAGUGACCGAUAGCGNNNNNNNNNNCCCUAAGGCUAAAUACUACUUAGUGACCGAUAGCGCAUAGUACUGUGAAGGAAAGGUGAAAAGGACCCCGGGAGGGGAGUGAAAGAGAACCUGAAACCCUGUGUCUACAAGCUGUGGAAGUACUUUAUAUGUACGACCGCGUACUUUUUGUAGAACGGUCCGGCGAGUUACGCUUACUGGCAAGGUUAAGCACUUCAGGUGUGGAGCCGUAGGGAAACCAAGUCUUAAUAGGGCCAGAGUCAGUAGGAGUAGACCCGAAACCGGGUGAUCUAUCCAUGUCCAGGUUGAAGCUGCCGUAAGAGGUAGUGGAGGACCGAACCCACAUCCGUUGAAAAGGGUGGGGAUGAGGUGUGGAUAGGGGAGAAAUUCCAAUCGAACCCGGAGAUAGCUGGUUCUCCUCGAAAUAGCUUUAGGGCUAGCCUCGGUGUGAGUCUUGCGGAGGUAGAGCACUGAAUUUCCUAGGGGGCGUCAAAGCCUACCGAAGAAUAUCAAACUCCGAAUGCCGUGUAGAUAUCACCGGGAGUCAGACUGCACGAGAUAAGUUGGGCGGUCAAAAGGGAAAGAGCCCAGACCUACAGUUAAGGUCCCAAAGUGCGCGUUAAGUGGAAAAGGAUGUGGGAUUUCGAAGACAACCAGGAUGUUGGCUCAGAAGCAGCCAUACAUUCAAAGAGUGCGUAAUAGCUCACUGGUCGAGAGGUCCUGCGCCGAAAAUGUCCGGGGCUGAAACGCGCCACCGAAACUAAGGAAUCUGAAAAGAUUGGUAGAGGAGCAUUGCAUGCGGGAAGAAGCAGUACCGGAAGGAGCUGUGGACUGCAUGGAAGAGAGAAUGCCGGAAUGAGUAGCGAGAUAGAGGUGGGAAUCCUCUAGGCCGAAUAUCCAAGGUUUCCAGGGUAAAGCUGAUCUGCCCUGGGUGAGUCGGGACCUAAGGUGAGGGCGAGAGCCGUAGCCGAUGGACAACAGGUUGAUAUUCCUGUACUGCAGUAUGACAGAACUGUGGGGACACGUAAGGAGAGCGGGAGCCGGGAAUGGAAAGCCCGGUACAAGCGAGGUACCAGUAUGGUAGGAAAAUCCGCCAUGCAAUGGGAAGACGUGAUGUGGAGUGAAUUUUAGUAACGAAGCCCGUGAGCCAUGCGUCAAGAAAAGCCGCUAUCGUUCAUAUUGUACCCGUACCGUAAACCGACACAGGUGGAUGAGGAGAGAAUCCUAAGGCCGGCGGAAGAAGUAUUGCCAAGGAACUCGGCAAAAUGGCCCCGUAACUUAGGGAGAAGGGGUGCCUGCGAGAGCAGGCCGCAGAGAAUAGGCUCAAGCAACUGUUUAGCAAAAACACAGGUCUAUGCGAAACCGAAAGGUGAGGUAUAUGGGCUGACGCCUGCCCGGUGCUGGAAGGUUAAGAGGAGAGGUUAGCGGUAACGCGAAGCUUUGAAUUUAAGCCCCAGUAAACGGCGGCCGUAACUAUAACGGUCCUAAGGUAGCGAAAUUCCUUGUCGGGUAAGUUCCGACCCGCACGAAAGGCGUAAUGAUUUGAGCGCUGUCUCGGCAAUACAUCCGGUGAAAUUGAAGUGCCAGUGAAGAUGCUGGCUACCCGCGCCAGGACGGAAAGACCCCAUGGAGCUUUACUCCAGUUUGGCACUGGGGUCCGGUGUUGCAUGUACAGGAUAGGUGGGAGGCUGAGAAACGGUAACGUCAGUUGCCGCGGAGCCGCUGUUGGGAUACCACCCUUGUGAUAUUGGGCUUCUAACCAGCCGCCGUAAUCCGGCGGUGGGACAAUGCCAGGCGGGGAGUUUGACUGGGGCGGUCGCCUCCGAAAGGGUAUCGGAGGCGCCCAAAGGUUCCCUCAGAAUGGACGGAAACCAUUCGAAGAGUGCAAAGGCAGAAGGGAGCUUGACUGCGACACCGACGGGUGGAGCAGGUACGAAAGUAGGGCUUAGUGAUCCGGUGGUAUUAAGUGGGAAUGCCAUCGCUCAACGGAUAAAAGCUACCCUGGGGAUAACAGGCUUAUCACUCCCAAGAGUUCACAUCGACGGAGUGGUUUGGCACCUCGAUGUCGGCUCAUCGCAUCCUGGGGCUGUAGUAGGUCCCAAGGGUUGGGCUGUUCGCCCAUUAAAGCGGUACGCGAGCUGGGUUCAGAACGUCGUGAGACAGUUCGGUCCCUAUCCGGCGUGGGCGCAGGAUAUCUGAGAGGAGCUGUCCUUAGUACGAGAGGACCGGGAUGGACGGACCGCUGGUGGACCGGUUGGCUUGCCAAAGCCAUGGCCGGGUAGCCAAGUCCGGAAGGGAUAAACGCUGAAGGCAUCUAAGCGUGAAGCCCCCCUCAAGAUGAGAUAUCCCAUUCUUAUGAAGUAAACCCCCUUGAAGACGACGAGGUAGAUAGGGCAGAGGUGGAAGUGUGGUAACACAUGGAGCUGACUGUUACUAAUCGGGUGAGGGCUUGACCAAG